rnacentral:rRNA from 1 species
UACGUAGGGUGCAAGCGUUAAUCGGAAUUACUGGGCGUAAAGCGUGCGCAGGCGGUUUUGUAAGACUGACGUGAAAUCCCCGGGCUCAACCUGGGAAUGGCGUUGGUGACUGCAAGGCUAGAGUUUGGCAGAGGGGGGUAGAAUUCCACGUGUAGCAGUGAAAUGCGUAGAUAUGUGGAGGAACACCGAUGGCGAAGGCAGCCCCCUGGGUCAAAACUGACGCUCAGCACGAAAGCGUGGGGAGCAAACAGG